rnacentral:tRNA from 1 species
GUGGCUCAGUGGUAGGGCAUCUGUUUGGCGUACAGAAGGUCUUGGGUUCAAACCCCGGCAUCUCCA